CAUAUAUGAAACUGUGUCUUAUAAAACCUGUUCCAGCAGUUCGUUCUCGCGAGUCGCGCGCUCUACGGAAUAUAAAAAUGCAAGCUAUGGCCGCUUUAUCACAUAUCCCAUUGGGUUUAAAUUUAUUUCGAUGCACUUAACGGUACCUACGUAACAUUAUUUAAUUUUAAACCGUUCAACGUUAUUAUGAAUAGUAAUUGAAACGUACGUAAUUAUUAAUUGGAAGUUCACAUAAAAAAAACUUAUCGCUUUUGUCUAAAAAAAAAAAUAAUUUCAUAAAUACCUAAAUAUAUACGGACAAAUCAAACAGAUUGAGCUGGCUCCCAACCAAAGAAGGCGGGAAAGUCUAUGGUCAUUAUGCAUAGAUAAGAUAUUAUGAAAAUGGUUAUUUUAAUCGUGAGCGCAAAUCGCUGGCUUUAUUUGCAAUAGAUUUCUUUGGGACCUUAAUCCUUUCAUUAUAAAACAAAGUCCUCUGCCGCUACUACCGCGGGCGGAUUUUUGUACGGUUUUCACCAAUACAUAUGUGUGAUUUCUGAGGAAGGUAUACUUGUAAUUUAUUAUGUUUUACCAGAGCGAAGUCAACAGACAGACAGAUAACAAAGUAAGUCAGAGUUGGUUAACUAUAGUUAGUAGCUUUUUGAGUAAUUAUAUGCCGUAAAAAGUGCGAGCGGCCCGACCUGGCUUCUUGUAUCAUAAAAUGUAUUUUUAAGAGCAACCUUUUAAUUAUUUAUGUAAAUAACUUCAGACCACCCUGACCCAUCUUCACACUGGGUCUUGCAGGCAACAUGCACGUCUCGGCGGGCAAAUUUAGGUAUUUUUACUUCUACUUCUACUUUUUAUUUCUACUUUGAGUUUCAGAAUUAUUUUUGGAAAUUUUCUAACAUCAAAAGAACGUUCAGUCAUACUUCGCGAAAGAAAUUUUCAAAGCAAACGUCGAUGUUUACUAGCUAUCUGACGGACAGACAGAGUGACGCAGCUAUGUUUACUGCUAAACACCGCUCUCUCAUCCUGCGCAAAAUAAUAAAUGGCUAUAAUUUGGCACAAUUAACACCACAGAUAAACAAAAUAAAGAAAAAAUUCUAAUCAAGCAAGAGAAUAAAGAUAAUGAUGACAUCUUUUUAUACCUGUCCAAGCAUUACAGGUUAUAAAUAAAUGGGAACAGGAUUCUGAAUCCAGUUGACGUUAAUAGAAUACGUCUGCGAUUGAUGAGAAACCUGUAGGUACAGUCAAAAGCGCAUCAAUAUACUAAAAUUUAUUGCAAACUCUAUUACCGCGCCAUAGAGGUUCAUGCGUGGUUACUUGAUGUGCUGUGGACUGUACGGCAAUCUAGACUAUGACUACAACAUGUGUAGUUUAAUGCGGGAUGUCUAAAGCUUACAGAAAAAAACUCUUCACCGAAACCAGGUUACGCUGAAAUUUUUUUUUCGUUUCUCAAAAUCUAUAAGUUUGAUUUAAAAUAAGUAAUCGGCAUAUUCAGCUAUGUUCGACACAAAUUAGGUUAGGUUAGGUAAGAACACGUUUUUAAACUUAUGUAUCUUAAUAGGCAGGUAUAUAAUUUAUUUUUUUCGGCGAAACGUGCUGGUGAUCAAUGUUUCUGUCUGAGGUUCCACACUCAUUCAAUGUCGGCAAUGUUCCACACUGUCGGCGAAUAGUUCUUCAAAUUUUGCGGUUUCGAUGUACCUACAUUUCUGUAUUUUCCUUGCAGUAAAUAAAAAGCGUAUUCGCGUCGGUAUGUGUCUGAAUUUGGCGAUAGGAUGGAGCCGGCAUAAAGUCACCAUCAGAUCAAUUUCUUUAAUUUCUUAGCGGACACAAAAUAAUUUACUUUAUGUGGCGUGAGAUUCUGCCCUAGAGUAGGACCAUUCCAUGUCCUCUCAUGAAUAUACGAGGCGACUACGUGACGCCUAGGCUGUUGAUAUGCAACAAUAGCAUUUCCAAGGACGGUUGACGUUAGGCCCCGGUACGCUAUUUUUGUAAGUACGUUGAUUCCGGGCAAUCCAGAACAUGCGAUGAGAGAGAGAGAGAGAUUCAAUAAUAAUUCGAUAUAAAUUGUGCUACAUUAGUUAGUUAGGAUUUUAUUAGUAUGUGUUAUAGUUUUCUUGUGGACACAUUUGUCACUAUUUACUAAACUGAAAACGGUGGCCGCUAAACUAUAAUAUUUUCUAGUAAAACCCUUUAUCUAAUUAGCAAUGUAAUGAUUAUUUUUAAGUCUUUGCUAAUAUACUAGUUGUUCGCCGCGAA